rnacentral:lncRNA from 1 species
GGGGGGAAGGAAAAAAAAACUGGGGAGAACUAGGCGGCUUUCUGAUCAGAGUUCAGAUAAAAAGGGUCACAGUAAUUUGUGGGCACUGACUAAAAUAACCCAAUGGAUUUGAGAGUUACCGCAAAAGAAGCAAACAGACAAACUAAAGAGGGACUUCAGCCAUGAACUUGGUGAUGAGCCAGAGAAGGUAACUUUUCAUCCCCUACAAGACCUUAAAGAAGAAAGCCUUAAAAACCCUUGAGUGAAUGGUUGGUAUUUACAGACAAGCAAAUGUAUGGAAGAGAAACGAGAGACCCAGCCUGAAUCUGUUGAAUGAACGAAAGGGGAAAUGCCCUAAGGAGUCAGAUGGAAGAAGUUUUUCUGGGAAGAGCAGAACACAGGAGUUGGGGUGCAGACCUCCUGGAUCACCAGCAGAAGGAAAAGAGCAGUGAGACGUUAAAGUGAUUGAGACAAAAAUGGAAGUAAAACAGCUUAAGGCUUUCUGAGAUCGAGUUCCUGGCAGUGUCAUCAGCAGAUGGUUUCUUCUGAAGUUCAGGGGAAGAGAAGAUGCUCGAAGAACUCUCCAGGGACUGAGUGGGUGGUACAGAGCUAGUGCUGUAGAUGCCAUGUAUACAGGCAAAUUCCCCAAUGAGUGUUUUCCAAUAUCAAGUUUAACUGGCAUUUAAGAUAUAUGCCAAAGGUAGGUAAAUUAUUUUGGCCUGUGCUUAUAGGUUUAUUUCCCUGGAUGAAGCUUUCUGUCUCUGUCCUAGUGCACUGUAGCAGAUGCAGGGUCUUUCCAUACAAUACAUUAAAAGCUGCAUCUCAUUUUAAAUAUAUUAUAGAAACCCUGAUCAUACAAUACAUACAAGAUUUUUAAGAUCAGCCUUCAGUCGAUUUUUUUGCUUUAUUUUUGUUCUGGAGGUCAAAAUGAGUGGUUAACUGUCUAAGUUGAUUGCAGAGAAAGUUACUACUCAUUCUAAACGUAGGUUUUUAGAAAAGUGUUCUUGGCAGUUGCUACCAUUGGCUUUUUCCAACUUACAUGGGAAUCAAGAUUCAGAACUGGUACACCAAUGGGAAGAGCCUGGAAAAUAGACUAUUGAUCAAGAUGAAUCUGGUCCAGAUACUUUAAGACCUUUUCAGUGUGUUUUUAAGAUUAUAAGUUUGAACUAACAGAAACUUCAAUGCUGUUUUUUCACAAGUCAAUGUGUAGUGUACUGUUAUUCUUUUUUUUCCUGUAAUAUCUUAAUAAUAUUCCUGGCUGUAAGAAAAAGUUAACACUAUACCUAUGUUUUGACUUACUUUAUAGAAGACCCAAACAAUAUUUAACAAAAGGAUUUUUCUCAAAUACUAUUUUGAAAUCACUAUAUUAGACACUAUCUUAAAUUUAUUUCUCAAUUUGCUUCUUUUUGAAACUUCCACAUUUUGGUGUUCUUUUCAGCAUCACUCAUUUUCUUUCAUAAUAAAGAUACCCAAUAACAAUAUCAUAAUAAAGAUUUGAUAACAAAUCUCCAGUUUUGGAGUGUUACAUUUCAUAUCUACAUGCUUACAGAGAAUUUAGUAUGAAUAUUCCCUGGCCUUAGUUCCUCUAAGCCUAGGAUACUUGUAGUCAUUUGGCAAAUAAUUUAAUCCAUGGCAAACAUGAGUCUUAAUACAAAAAUUAUUGAGUAGGCAAAAAAUAAUUGAACAUAUUUUGGACUGAUUACCAGUGCAUUAAAAAAGUAGAGGUUUAAGGAUGAGAAUAAUAAGUUUUUUUGUUUUUACUUAAAUUUAUAUAAAAGGAGUGAAAAUACAGUAGCCUAUAGUACUUAAGAGUGUGGGUAUAUUUUCAGCACUUAAUAAUUACUAGUUGAAUUGCAUAAUAUGGGACUAUAACUGAUAUGGUUUGGCUCUGUGUCCCCGCCCAAAUCUCAUGUUGAAUUAUAAUUUCCAAUAUUGGAGGAGGUACCUAGUGGGAGGUGACUGGAUCAUUGGGGGAAAUUUCCCCCUUGCUGUCCUCAUGAUAGUGAGUGAGUUCUCACAAGAUCUGAUGGUUUAAAAGUGUGUGGCAUUUCCCCCUUUACUCUUUCUCUCUCCUGCUGGCCAUGAGAAUAAGUGCUUGCUUCCCAUUCACCUUCUGCCAUGCUUGUGUUUCCUGAGGCUUCCCAGCCAUGCUUCUUGUUCAAGCUGCAGAACUGUGAGUCAAUUAAACCUCAUUUCUUCAUAAAUUACCCAGUCUCAGCUCUUUAUGGGAGUGUGAGAAUGGACUAAUAAAAUAUCUCUAGAAUUAUGUUUUUGGAGAUAAUUUAAAGAUAAACAAAUAUUGGAAACCUCAUUUGAUCACACAGAGAACAGUAAAUGGAAGUUCUACUUUUUCUCCAGGGCCUUUCUCAUGCUUAUGCAGGGAUUAUUCACCCAGAUAUCCUGAAAUAAGACAUCCAAUUAAGGUACCUGCUAUCUCAUGUAACACAGAAGAAAGUUGAGCAUAGAGGUUAAACAUUACCUAAUAUUGUUGGAAAAGCUUCGAAGCGUUCAUUUUCAAAGCAGCUAAUGUAAACCAUGAUAAUCACUAGUAGCACUAUGCCAUUUUAAAUACUUCAAUAUUUUGUAGUUAUUAGAUUCUAAGUAAGUAUAAAAUGUAGUGAAUACAAAUUUUAUUUGCCUAAACAGUGUUAGACAAUAUAAAUUAACGAGUUAUUUUUUAUUCUGUUUAAUAUUUUCAAGCCAAUAAACACUUUACUAAAGUAUAAAGUA